ACCCCCAAGGGCACCCCAGCAGUGACAAAAAUUAAGCAAAUAAGCGCAAGCUUGACUUAGCUAUAGCAAAUAAGGGUUGGUCAAUCUUGUGCCAGCCACCGCGGUUAUACAAGAAACCCAAACCAACAGAAAACCGGCGUAAAAUGUGACUAAAACAACUAUCUAAAAAUUAAGGAGAACCCCAUACUCAACUGUUAUACGUAGAAGUACACAACCAUCUCAAUAUGAAAAUAACCCUAAUGUAAUAGAACUAUUCGAACUCACGAUAGCUAAGACACAAACUGGGAUUAGAUACCCCACUAUGCUUAGCCAUAAACUCAGAUAUUUUAUACACAAAAAUAUCCGCCAGAGAACUACGAGCAAAACGCUUAAAACUCUAAAGACUUGGCGGUGCCCCAAACCCACCUAGAGGAGCCUGUUCUAUAAUCGAUAAUCCACGAUUCACCUCACCAUCUAUUGCCAAUACCGCUUAUAUACCGCCGUCACCAGCCUGCCCUGUGAAGGAUGAAAGAGCAGGCAAAAUAGCCAACAACAGCUAACAAGUCAGGUCAAGGUGUAGCUAACUAAGAUGGAAGAAAUGGGCUACAUUUUCUAAAUUAGAAAUUACUUUAACGGAAAGAACUAUGAAAUAAGUCCUAUAAGCAGGAUUUAGCAGUAAACAGGGAUCAGAAUGCCCAAUUUAAGCCGGUCCUAAGGCACGCACACA
rnacentral:rRNA from 1 species